AUUGAACGCUGGCGGCAGGCCUAACACAUGCAAGUCGAACGGUAACAGGAAGAAGCUUGCUUCUUUGCUGACGAGUGGCGGACGGGUGAGUAAUGUCUGGGAAACUGCCUGAUGGAGGGGGAGAACUACUGGAAACGGUAGCUAAUACCGCAUAACGUCGCAAGACCAAAGAGGGGGACCUUCGGGCCUCUUGCCAUCGGAUGUGCCCAGAUGGGAUUAGCUAGUAGGUGGGGUAACGGCUCACCAAGGCGACGAGCCCUAGCUGGUCUGAGAGGAUGAGCAGCCACACUGGAACUGAGACACGGUCCAGACUCCUACGGGAGGCAGCAGUGGGGAAUAUUGCACAAUGGGCGCAAGCCUGAUGCAGCCAUGCCGCGUGGGUGAAGAAGGCCUUCGGGUUGUAAAGUCCUUUUGUCGGGAAAGAAGAGCGGCAGGUUAAUACCCUUCUUCCCUGACGUUACCCAAAGAAGAAGCACCGGCUAACUCCGUG
rnacentral:rRNA from 1 species